CCUGGCGGCCCGUAGCGCGGUGGUCCCACCUGACCCCAUGCCGAACUCAGAAGUGAAACGCCGUAGCGCCGAUGGUAGUGUGGGGUCUCCCCAUGCGAGAGUAGGGAACUGCCAGGC
rnacentral:rRNA from 1 species